CUCUCUCCCCGCGCGUCUGCAAAGUUGGGGGCGGGAGGCGCAGCCGAGGGUCUGACGGCUGCGGCGGGGCCUGGACGGAAGAGGGGGCGAGCCCCGGGGCGCCGCACGUGGACCCCCGGCACGGGCACGCUCACGUGCACCCGUCCUUUCACGCCAACGCGUUUCCUGCUGCCCCCACCCCUGCACCACUGCACGUCCCAGACCCCGGCCCAGCCUCCCCGCGGUCCCUAGGCUGGGGGAGCUCAGACAGGAGGCUAGGAGGAGGGGGACUUUGGGGCUGAGGCUUUGCCAAAGGAGCAGGAGUUUGCCAAGUGUUGUAGGAAGCGGGAAGGGUGCGCCAGGUAGGGGGCACGGCGUGUGCCAAGGCCCGGAAACGUGAAACCGAGUGCUUUUCGGGGGCAACCGGGAAGUCAGUUGGUGGAGAAAAAUCAAAGAUGGGAGGAAAGGCGAGGCUGACAAGGACCCUAAACGGUGAUUCCCCAAGUCGGCCACUGGAGGGAUGACUUGGGGGACCAGAGAGGAAGAGCAGCCUGGCCUCUGGAGCGGCCUGGGAAGAGCUGGAGUUCGCAGGGUGGGAGCUGCCCUGUGGCUGGGAGCCCGUGCUGGCGUCCCUGCCAGGCGGUGAUCUCACAGAGACAGGGUCUAGCUAUGUUGCCCCGGCUGGUAUCAAACUCCUGGACUCAAACGAAAGUGCUGGGAUUCCAGGCAUGAGCCAGCGCUCCCGGCCUGCAUACGGGAUGAUUCCAUGUGGACUGCCACAUCAAGGAAGCAAACAACAAGGAAAGCCUGGCGCUGCGUGGA